UUACGAAGAGUAGUGGCGUCAGAGGUUGUUCAGGGCCACAUGGAGCUUGUUGCGGAGAGUGGAGUGGUGUUCGUUGUCAUGACUUGCCAGAGAGUGGUGGAGCUGCAUGAAAUCCGUUGUAGAGAGUGGAGCAGGGUAGUGGCCCUUGUCGUGGCUUGUCAGAGAGUGGUGGAGCCGCGUGGAAUCCGUUGCAGCAAAUGGAGUAAGGUAGUGGCCC
rnacentral:lncRNA from 1 species